rnacentral:rRNA from 1 species
GAUGAACGCUGGCGGCGUGCCUAAUACAUGCAAGUCGAGCGAACAGACGAGGAGCUUGCUCCUUUGACGUUAGCGGCGGACGGGUGAGUAACACGUGGGUAACCUACCUAUAAGACUGGGAUAACUUCGGGAAACCGGAGCUAAUACCGGAUAAUAUUUCGAACCGCAUGGUUCGAUAGAGAAAGAUGGCUCUGCUAUCACUUAUAGAUGGACCUGCGCCGUAUUAGCUAGUUGGUAAGGUAACGGCUUACCAAGGCAACGAUACGUAGCCGACCUGAGAGGGUGAUCGGCCACACUGGAACUGAGACACGGUCCAGACUCCUACGGGAGGCAGCAGUAGGGAAUCUUCCGCAAUGGGCGAAAGCCUGACGGAGCAACGCCGCGUGAGUGAUGAAGGUCUUCGGAUCGUAAAACUCUGUUAUUAGGGAAGAACAAACGUGUAAGUAACUGUGCACGUCUUGACGGUACCUAAUCAGAAAGCCACGGCUAACUACGUG